AGGGAGCUGGAGGGGGCGGAGCCAGGGAGCGAGGGGGCGGAGCCAGGGAGCGAGGGGGCUGGAGCUGGCCUCGAGACGGGGGCGCGGCGUGAAGCCGACGCCUAGUGGGAGAGGGAGGUGGACCGCGCUUACCGCUGGCCUCUUGGAAGACUUGAGGGCGUGGCCUGUAGAGCCAGGUGCGCCAAGUGACGGGCGAGCUAGCGGAAAGCCGCCUCAGGGACUUGGAGGAUGUAGAAGUGGGAGGAGACCGAGGGUCAACACGAAUUGUCCGUGCUCACUCCAGCUGCCCUGUUGAGGAGGAUUUUCACCAGCUAUCAAAGCAGAAGAACAUAAUAAAAGACAAAAGGAAAGAAAUGUCACCACACAGGUAUCAGUGAACGAAAUCAAACAAUAUUUAUCACACAUAUUGGAACAAAGAACAUCUAGUAAUGUAAUCAAUAAAAGAGAAAAUCUCCUGGAGAAAAAGAAGAAUCAACGUAAAAUAAGAAUAAAAGGAUUUCAAAAUAAAGAUAUCUUGAAGAGAAAUAAGAAUCAUUUACAAAAGCAAGCAGAGAAAAAUUUUACAGAUGAAGGAGACCAGCUAUUUAAGAUGGGCAUCAAGGUUCUCCAGCAGUCUAAAAGCCAAAAACAAAAAGAAGAAGCCUACCUACUUUUUGCCAAAGCAGCUGACAUGGGAAACUUGAAAGCUAUGGAGAAAAUGGCUGACGCUUUGCUAUUUGGAAAUUUUGGCGUGCAAAAUAUAACAGCAGCUAUCCAAUUAUAUGAGUCCUUGGCUAAAGAAGGAUCAUGUAAAGCCCAAAACGCAUUAGGAUUUUUGUCUUCUUAUGGAAUAGGAAUGGAAUAUGAUCAAGCUAAGGCACUGAUAUAUUACACCUUUGGAAGUGCUGGAGGAAACAUGAUGUCCCAGAUGAUUUUGGGGUACAGAUAUUUGUCGGGAAUCAAUGUUCUACAGAAUUGUGAAGUUGCCCUAAGUUAUUACAAGAAAGUGGCAGAUUAUAUUGCUGACACAUUUGAAAAAAGUGAAGGUGUUCCAGUGGAAAAAGUGAGACUAACGGAAAGACCUGAAAAUCUGAGUUCUAACAGUGAGAUUUUGGAUUGGGACAUAUACCAAUACUAUAAAUUUUUGGCAGAAAGAGGAGAUGUUCAGAUACAAGUCUCUCUUGGACAAUUACAUCUAAUUGGCAGGAAAGGUCUAGAUCAGGAUUACUACAAAGCAUUACACUACUUCUUAAAGGCAGCAAAGGCCGGGAGUGCAAAUGCCAUGGCAUUUAUAGGAAAGAUGUAUUUAGAGGGGAAUGCUGCCGUGCCGCAAAAUAACACUACUGCCUUCAAGUACUUUUCCAUGGCAGCCAGUAAGGGCAAUGCAAUCGGCCUUCAUGGGCUUGGUCUUCUUUACUUUCGUGGAAAAGGAGUUCCCCUGAAUUAUGCCGAAGCACUUAAAUACUUUCAGAAAGCUGCGGAAAAAGGGUGGCCCGACGCACAGUUCCAGUUAGGCUUCAUGUACUACUCUGGCUCUGGAAUAUGGAAGGAUUAUAAACUUGCCUUCAAAUAUUUUUACCUGGCAUCUCAGAGUGGGCAGCCCCUCGCCAUUUAUUAUCUGGCCAAGAUGUAUGCAACAGGAACAGGAGUAGUAAGAUCAUGCAGAACUGCUGUGGAGAAAAGGCUAACAUUCUUGAAAAAGAGAAGAUGUAUCCAAUGGCGCUUCUCCUAUGGAAUCGAGCUGCCAUUCAAGGCAAUGCAUUUGCUAGAGUAAAAAUUGGAGAUUACCAUUACUAUGGCUAUGGGACUAAGAAAGACUAUCAAACAGCAGCCACACACUACAGCAUUGCAGCCAACAAAUACCACAACGCGCAAGCCAUGUUCAAUCUGGCUUAUAUGUAUGAACACGGCUUAGGCAUCACAAAGGACAUUCACUUGGCCAGAAGAUUGUACGACAUGGCUGCUCAAACGAGUCCAGAUGCCCACAUACCUGUGCUCUUUGCCGUCAUGAAACUGGAAACUACGCAUUUGCUCCGGGAUAUCCUGUUUUUUAAUUUCACAACGAGAUGGAACUGGCUGAAACUGGACAACACCAUUGGAGCACACUGGGACUUAUUUGUGAUUGGCCUCAUUGUUCCUGGGCUGAUUUUGUUGCUUAGAAAUCACCAUGGGUAGGAUGCAGAUCACAGGAAAACCUGCUCACGGCAAUCAGUUCACUCCAAGGUAUCCCCACUAAAUAAACAGUUUCCCAUCCAAA
rnacentral:sRNA from 1 species